CUACGGGAUGCUCCAGUGGGGAAUCUUGGACAAUGGGCGCAAGCCUGAUCCAGCCAUGUCGCGUGAGUGAAGAAGGCCUUAGGGUCGUAAAGCUCUUUCGCCAGAGAUGAUAAUGACAGUAUCUGGUAAAGAAACCCCGGCUAACUCCGUGCCAGCAGCCGCGGUAAUACGGAGGGGGUUAGCGUUGUUCGGAAUUACUGGGCGUAAAGCGCGCGUAGGCGGAUUAGUCAGUCAGAGGUGAAAUCCCAGGGCUCAACCCUGGAACUGCCUUUGAUACUGCUAGUCUUGAGUUCGAGAGAGGUGAGUGGAAUUCCGAGUGUAGAGGUGAAAUUCGUAGAUAUUCGGAGGAACACCAGUGGCGAAGGCGGCUCACUGGCUCGAUACUGACGCUGAGGUGCGAAAGUGUGGGGAGCAAACAGGAUUAGAUACCCGGGUAGUC
rnacentral:rRNA from 1 species